rnacentral:rRNA from 1 species
GCAUCAGAAACUGUUGAACUUGAGUGCAGAAGAGGAGAGUGGAACUCCAUGUGUAGCGGUGGAAUGCGUAGAUAUAUGGAAGAACACCAGUGGCGAAGGCGGCUCUCUGGUCUGCAACUGACGCUGAGGCUCGAAAGCAUGGGUAGCGAACAGGAUUAGAUACCCUGGUAGUCCAUGCCGUAAACGAUGAGUGCUAAGUGUUGGGAGGUUUCCGCCUCUCAGUGCUGCAGCUAACGCAUUAAGCACUCCGCCUGGGGAGUACGACCGCAAGGUUGAAACUCAAAGGAAUUGACGGGGGCCCGCACAAGCGGUGGAGCAUGUGGUUUAAUUCGAAGCAACGCGAAGAACCUUACCAGGUCUUGACAUCCAGUGCAAACCUAAGAGAUUAGGUGUUCCCUUCGGGGACGCUGAGAC